rnacentral:tRNA from 1 species
GGGGUUGUGGCUCAAUGGUAGAGCGCUUGCCUAGCACAUGAGAGGCCCUGAAUUGGAUCUUCAGCACCACA